CCUACGGGUGGCAGCAGUCGAGAAUCAUUCACAAUGGGGGAAACCCUGAUGGUGCGACGCCGCGUGGGGGAUGGAGGCCUUCGGGUUGUAAACCGCUUUUGUUCAAGGGCAAGGCACGGUCUUUGGCCGUGUUGAGUGGAUUGUUCGAAUAAGCACCGGCUAAAUACGUGCCAGCAGCCGCGGUAAUACGUAGGGUGCAAGAGUUAUCCGGAUUUAUUGGGCGUAAAGGGCUCGUAGGCGGUUCGUCGCGUCCGGUGUGAAAGUCCAUCGCUUAACGGUGGAUCCGCGCCGGGUACGGGCGGGCUUGAGUGCGGUAGGGGAGACUGGAAUUCCCGGUGUAACGGUGUAAUGUGUAGAUAUCGGGAAGAACACCAAUGGCGAAGGCAGGUCUCUGGGCCGUUACUGACGCUGAGGAGCGAAAGCGUGGGGAGCGAACAGGAUUAGAUACCCGAGUAGUC
rnacentral:rRNA from 1 species